GAGUUUGAUCCUGGCUCAGGAUGAACGCUAGCGGCAGGCUUAACACAUGCAAGUCGAGGGGUAUUUAUCUUCGGAUAGAGAGACCGGCGCACGGGUGCGUAACGCGUAUGCAAUCUACCUUUUACAGAGGGAUAGCCCAGAGAAAUUUGGAUUAAUACCUCAUAGUAUUAUUAAAUGGCAUCAUUUUAUAAUUAAAGUCACAACGGUAAAAGAUGAGCAUGCGUCCCAUUAGCUAGAUGGUAAGGUAACGGCUUACCAUGGCUACGAUGGGUAGGGGUCCUGAGAGGGAGAUCCCCCACACUGGUACUGAGACACGGACCAGACUCCUACGGGAGGCAGCAGUGAGGAAUAUUGGACAAUGGGCGCAAGCCUGAUCCAGCCAUGCCGCGUGCAGGAUGACGGUCCUAUGGAUUGUAAACUGCUUUUGUACGAGAAGAAACACUGCUUCGUGAAGCAGCUUGACGGUAUCGUAAGAAUAAGGAUCG
rnacentral:rRNA from 1 species